UAAGACGAACCGUGCAAACGUUAUUCGGAAUCACUGGGCAUAAAGGGCGCGUAGGCGGCUUUCUAAGUCAGGGGUGAAAUCCGGCAGCUCAACUGUCGCAGUGCCUUUGAUACUGGAAAGCUCGAGGGAUGUAGGGGUCUGUGGAACUUCCGGUGGAGCGGUGAAAUGCGUUGAUAUCGGAAGGAACGCCGGUGGCGAAAGCGACGGACUGGACAUCUUCUGACGCUGAGGCGCGAAAGCCAGGGGAGCAAACGGGAUUAGAUACCCCGGUAGUCCUGGCCCUAAACGAUGGGUACUAGAUUGCGGACUUACAUGGGUUCGCAGUCGAAGCUAAUGUUUUAAGUACCCCGCCUGGGGAGUAUGGUCGCAAGGCUG
rnacentral:rRNA from 1 species